rnacentral:sRNA from 1 species
UUUCUAUCUGCUGUGGACAGAUGAAAUGGAUGUGGCUGUCUAUGCCUCCGGGGGUAGCGAUCAGACCCUCACCGGCGAUCACCUCUGUCGAGGCACCUAUCACCAUAUCGGGAUGCACGCCGUCCAUCAGGUCCGGAUUCCCGGCCUUGCCGAUCCCGCAGAUCUUGCCAUCCCUUAUACCUAUGUCCGCCUUUACGAUACCACGGUGGUCAAGGAUAACCGCAUUGGUUAUCACCGUAUCCAGUGCACCGGCAUUUCUCGUUGCCUUUGGUGACUGGCCCAUGCCAUCCCU